ACACACACACACUUUCACAAACACUGACACACACACACUUUCACAAACACUGACACACACACACACUUUCACAAACACUGACACACACACAUUUUCACAAACACUGACACACACACAUUUUCACAAACACUGACAUACACACACUGACAUGUUCAAUUUGAAUCCACCCAACCUCCCUACCUUUGGGAGAGCGGAGUGGACUGUCCCUGGGGUCCAGUGGGGCCGCACUACCUGUGCGUGGGAGCAGUCAUCUACCUGCGGCUCCUCUCUGCUCCCUGUAGUAAUGCCGGGGCCGGGAUGACGUCAUAUUCCGG